CUCAUCGCCCUCGUGCUUAUUCUGUUCGUGCUGCUCAUCUUGUGGCUUGCCUGCGGCGGGUUCUUCAGCGGUGCUGAUAAAGGAGACGGCUCACAGACUCCAACUCUCGACAUCGGUAGUUUUCC
rnacentral:lncRNA from 1 species